rnacentral:rRNA from 1 species
AUUGAACGCUGGCGGCAUGCCUUACACAUGCAAGUCGAACGGCAGCACGGGUGCUUGCACCUGGUGGCGAGUGGCGAACGGGUGAGUAAUAUAUCGGAACGUACCUUAUUGUGGGGGAUAACGCAGCGAAAGCUGUGCUAAUACCGCAUAAUCCCUAAGGGGGAAAGCGGGGGACCGUAAGGCCUCGCGCAAUUAGAGCGGCCGAUACCUGAUUAGCUAGUUGGUGAGUUAAAGGCUCACCAAGGCAACGAUCAGUAGCUGGUCUGAGAGGACGAUCAGGCACACUGGGACUGAGACACGGCCCAGACUACUACGGGAGGCAGCAGUGGGGAAUUUUGGACAAUGGGGGCAACCCUGAUCCAGCAAUGCCGCGUGAGUGAAGAAGGCCUUCGGGUUGUAAAGCUCUUUUGUCAGGGAAGAAACAGCAGCUCUAACACAGUUUGCGAAUGACGGUACCUGAAGAAUAAGCACCGGCUAACUACGUGCCAGCCGCCGCCGUAA